AGAACAAGGGUGACCCGAUCUUCUGAAGUUCUGGUAACUCUCGAUUUGGUGGAGACGAGACACAAAUCGAUCCGUCUUCCGAACAACACGAUCCGAAACCCUGCAAUUUUUUUUUGAUAUUUUUCUUUUAGUUAGAGCACCAAAGGAGUGACCACAGAAAAUUUGAGCUUAAACUAGUGAAAGACAUGGCCUACGAAAAUUUCUGAAAAUUAUGUAAAAUGUGAAAAAAAAACAUCACGAGGUGAAAACUCAAACUUCAGAGGUGAAUUUGGAGGUUCUAAAGUUUUCAAACUCGCCAAUGGAGGGGACAGAGAGAUCCGAAAUUUUUUUUCGAUCGAUUUUGAUAUAUUGAACGUUGAAAUCAGAGCUCGUAUGCGAAAGUUAUGGCUAUUUUACAAACGGACUCCAAAUUAGAGGACAAAAUGGUCCGAAAGUGGAAAAAAUUUGCGGCGGUGGCUAGAAAUUGAUGGAAACGGUGGGGGAAAAUACAUGAACUGGACUCUAAUAAGACCUAACCAGCAAUAAGACCUCGACGAGGACACAAACUCAACACUGCGGACUCUGAAACUGAAAUAUGCAAAGGCUAUGACGUGGAAGGGUUGUAGGACAAGAAAACGAUAUGACACUGCACUUAUGGGACGAACACAAGAACACUCAAAACUAAGGGUAGAUGUGAACCUAAUGGUAUACCUAAAGCUUUGAUUCCCACAUGAUGAGAACAACGGUGACCCGAUCUUCUAAAAGGUUCUGGUAACUCUCGAUUUGGUGGAGACGAGACACGAAUCGAUCCGGCUUCCGAACAACACGAUCCGAAACCCUGCAAUUUUUUUUAUUUUUUUGAUAUUUUUCUUUUAGUUAGAGCACCAAAGGAGUAACCACAGAAAAUUUGAGCUUAAACCAGUGAAAGACAUGGCCUACGAAAAUUUCUGAAAAUUGUGAAAAAUGUGAAAAAAACAUCACGAGGUGAAAACUCAAACUUCAGUUGUGAAUUUGGAGGUGCUAAAAUUUUCAAACCAGCCAAGGGAGGGGAGACAGAUCCGAAAUUUUUUUCUGAUCGAUUUUGAAAUAUGGAACAUUGAAAUCGGAGCUCGUAUGCGAAAGUUAUGGCUAUUUUACGAACGGACUCCAAAUUCGAGGACAAAACGGUGCGAAAGUGGGCAAAAUUUACGGUGGUGGCUAGAAAUUGAUGGAAACGGUGGGGGAAAAUAUAUGAACUGGACUCUAACAAGACCUAACCAGCAACAAGACCUCGACGAGGACACAAACUCAACACUGCGGACUCUAAAACUGAAAUAUGCAAAGGCUAUGGCGUGGAAGGGUUGUAGGACAGAAAAACGAUAUGACACUGGACUUAUGGGACGAACACAAGAACACUCGAAACUAAGGGUAGAUUUGAACCUAAUGGUAUAUCUAAAUCUUUGAUUUCCACAUGAUGAGAACAAGGGUGACCCAAUCUUCUGAAAGGUUCUGGUAACUCUCGAUUUGGUGGAGACGAGACACAAAUCGAUCCGGGUUCCGAACAACACGAUCCGAAACCCUACAAUUUUUUUUAUUUUUUUGAUAUUUUUCUUUUAGUUAGAGCACCAAUGGAGUAACCACAGAAAAUUUGAGCUUAAACCAGUGAAAAACAUGGCCUACGAAAAUUUCUGAAAAUUGUGAAAAAUGUGAAAAAAACAUCACGAGGUGAAAACUCAAACUUCGGAGGUGAAUUUGGAGGUUCUAACUUUUCAAACCUACCAAUGGAGUGACAAACAGAUCCAAAAUUUUUUUCUGAUCGAUUUUGAUAUAUGGAACGUUGUAAAUGGAGCUCGUAUGUGAAAGUUAUGGCUAUUUUACGAACGGACUCCAAGUUAGAGGACAAAACGGUCCGAAAGUGGGAAAAAUUUGCGGUGGUGGCUAGAAAUUGAUGGAAACGGUGGGGGAAAAUACAUGAACUGGACUCUAACAAGACCUAACCAGCAACAAGACCUCGACAAGGACACAAACUCAACACUGCGGACUCUGAAACUGAAAUAUGCAAAGGCUAUGGCGCGGAAGGGUUGUAGGACAGGAAAACCAUAUGACACUGGACUUAUGGGACGAACACAAGAACACUCGAAACUAAGGGUAGAUUUGAACCUAACGGUAUACCUAAAGCUUUGAUUACCACAUGAUGAGAACAAGGGUGACCCGAUCUUCUGAAAGGUUCUCGUAACUCUCGAUUUGGUGGAGACGAGACACAAUUUAAUCCGGCUUUCGAACAACACGAUCCAAAACCCUGCAAAUUUUUUUAUUUUUUUGAUAUUUUUCUUAUAGUUAGGAGCACCAAAGGAGUAACCACACAAUAUUUGAGCUUAAACCAGUGAAAUUUUCUCAAAGUUGUGAAAAUGUGAAAAAAAACUUCAUGAGGUGAAAACUCAAAUUUCGGAGGUGAAUUUGGAGGUUCCAAAAUUUUCAAACCUGCCAAUGGAGUGGACAGACAGAUCCGAAAUUUUUUUCUGAUCAAUUUUGAUAUAUGGAACGUUGAAAUCGGAGCUCGUAUGCGAAAGUUAUGGCUAUUUUACAAACGGACUCCAAAUUAGAGGACAAAAUGGUCGAAAAGUGGGAAAAAUUUGCGACGGUGGCUAGAUAUUGAUGGAAACGGUGCUGGAAAACACACGAACUGGACUCUAACAAGACCUAACAAGCAACAAGACCUCGACGAGGACACAAACUCAACACUGCGGACUCUGAAACUGAAAUAUGCAAAGGCUAUGACACGGAAGGGUUGUAGGACAAGAAAACGAUAUGACACUGCACUUAUUGGACGAACACAAGAACACUUGAAACUAAGGGCAGAUGUGAACCUAAUGGUAUACCUAAAGCUUUUAUUUCCACAUGAUGAGAACAAGGGUGACCCGAUCUUCUGAAAGGUUCUGGUAACUCUCGAUUUGGUGGAGACAAGACAUAAAUCGAUCCGGCUUCCGAACAACACGAUCCGAAAACCGGUAAUUUUUUUAUUUUUUGAUAUUUUCUUUUAGUUAGAGCACCAGAGGAGUAACCACAGAAAAUUUGAGCUUAAACUAGUGAAAGACAUGGCCUACGAAAAUUUCUGAAAAUUGUGAAAAAUGUGAAAAAAACAUCACGAGGUGAAAACUCAAACUUCAGAGGUGAAUUUGGAGGUUCUAAAAUUUUCAAACUCGCCAAUGGAGGGGACAGACAGAUCUCAAAAUUUUUUCUGAUCAAUUUUGAUAUAUGGAACGUUGAAAUCGGAGUUCGUAUGCGAAAGUUAUGGCUAUUUUACGAACGGACUCCAAAUUAGAGGGCAAAAUGGUCCGAAAGUAGGAAAAAUUCGCGGCGGUGGCUAGAAAUUGAUGGAAACGGUGGGGAAAAACACACAAACUGGACUCUAACAAGACCUAACCAGCAACAAGACCUCGACCAGGACACAAACUCAACACUGUGUACUGUGAAACUGAAAUAUGCAAAGGCUAUGGCGCGGAAGGGUUGUAGGACAAGAAAACGAUAUGACACUGGACUUAUGGGACAGACACAAGAACACUGAAAAGUAAGGGUAGAUGUGAACCUAAUGGUAUACCUAAAGCUUUGAUUACUAUAUGAUGAGAAUAAGGGUGACCCGAUCUUCUAAAAGGUUCUGGUAACUCUCGAUUUGGUUAAGAUGAGACACAAAUCGAUACGGCUUCCGAAUAACAUGAUCCGAAACGCUGCAAAAUUUUUUUUAUUUUUUUGAUAUUUUACUUUUAGUUAGGAGCACCAAAGGAGUAACCAUAGAAAAUUUGAGCAUAAACAAAUCAAACACAUGGCCUGCGGAAUUUUCUGAAGACUGUGAAAAAUGUGAAAAAAACUUCAUGAGGUAAAAACUCAAACUUCGGAGGUGAAUUUGGAGGUUCUAAAAUUUUUAAACUCGCCAAUGGACGGGACAGACAGAUCCAAGAAUUUUUUCUAAUCGAUUUUGAUAUAUGGAACGUUGAAAUCAGAGUUUGUAUGCGAAAGUUAUGUCUAUUUUACGAACAGACUCCAAAUUAGAGGACAAAACGGUCCGAAAGUGGGAAAAAUUUGCGGUGGUGGCUAGAAAUUGAUGGAAACGGUGGGGAAAAAUACAUGAACUGAACUCUAACAAGACCUACCCUACAAUAACACCUCGACGAGGACACAAACUCAACACUGCGGACUCUGAAACUGAAAUAUGCAAAGGCUAUGACGCGGAAGGGUUGUAGGACAAGAAAACGAUAUGACACUGGACUUAUGGGACGAACACAAGAACACUCGAAACUAAUGGUAGAUGUGAACCUAAUGGUAUACCUAAAGCUUUGAUUAUCACUUGAUGGGAACAAGGGUGGCCCGAUCUUCCAAAAUGUUCUGGUAACUCUCGAUUUGGUGGAGACGAGACACAAAUCGAUCCGGCUUUCGAAUAACAUGAUCCAAAACCCUGCGUUUUUUAUUUUUUUGAUAUUUUUCUUUUAGUCAGGAGCACCAAAGGAGUAACCAUAGAAAAUGAGCUUAAACAAGUAAAAGACAUGGCCUGCGGACUUUUCUGAAGAUUGUGAAAAAUGUGAAAAAACAUCACGAGGUGAAAACUCAAACUUCAGAAGUGAAUUUGGAGGUACUAAAAUUUUCAAACCCGCCAAUGGAGGGGACAGACAGAUCCAAAAAAUUUUUCUGAUCGAUUUUGAUGUAUGGAAUGUUGAAAUCGGAGUUUGUAUGCGAAAGUUAUGGCUAUUUUACAAACGGACUCCGAAUUAGAGGACAAAACGGCGGUGCCUAGAAAUUGAUGGAAACGGUGGGGAAAAAGACAUGAACUGGACUCUAACAAGACUUAACCAGCAAGAAGACCUCGACCAGGACACAAACUCAACACUGCGGACUCUAAAACUGAAUUAUGCAAAGGCUAUGGCGCGGAAGGGUUGUAGGACAAGAAAAUGAUAUAGCACUGGACUUAUAGGGACAAACACGAGAACACUCGAAACUAAGGGUAGAUGUGAACCUAAUGGUAUACCUAAAGCUUUGAUUUCCACAUGAUGAGAACAAGGGUGACCCGAUCUUCUGAAAGGUUCUGGUAACUCUCGAUUUGGUGGAGACGAGACACAAAUCGAUCCGGCUUCCGAACAACACGAUCCGAAACCCUGCAAUUGUUUUAUUUUUUUUGAUAUUUUUCUUUUAGUUAGAGCACCAAAGGAGUAACCACAGAAAAUUUGAGCUUAAACCAGUGAAAGACAAGGUCUACGAAAAUUUCUGAAAAUUGUGAAAAAUGUGAAAAAAACAUCAUGAGGUGAAAACUCAAACUUCAGAGGUGAAUUUGGAGGUCCUAAAAUUUUCAAACCAGCC
rnacentral:lncRNA from 1 species